UUGACCUCGAAUCAGGUAGGGAUACCCGCUGAACUUAAGCAUAUCAAUAAGCGGAGGAAAAGAAACCAACCGGGAUUACCUCAGUAACGGCGAGUGAAGCGGUAACAGCUCAAAUUUGAAAUCUGGCUCCUACGGAGUCCGAGUUGUAAUUUGUAGAAGAUGCUUUGGGAGGUAGGGCCGGCCUAAGUUCCUUGGAACAGGACAUCAGAGAGGGUGAGAAUCCCGUAUGUGGCCGUGGCCUACGCCCGUGUAAAGCUCUUUCGACGAGUCGAGUUGUUUGGGAAUGCAGCUCAAAAUGGGUGGUAAAUUUCAUCUAAAGCUAAAUAUUGGCCAGAGACCGAUAGCGCACAAGUAGAGUGAUCGAAAGAUGAAAAGCACUUUGGAAAGAGAGUUAAACAGUACGUGAAAUUGUUGAAAGGGAAGCGCUUGCAACCAGACUUGGGUGUCGUGGAUCAUCCGAGGUUCUCCUCGGUGCACUCGACGAUGCGCAGGCCAGCAUCGGUUUGGGUGGUUGGAGAAAGGCUCUAGGAACGUAGCUCUCUUCGGGGAGUGUUAUAGCCUAGGGCGCAAUGCAGCCCAUCCGGACCGAGGACCGCGCCUUCGGGCUAGGAUGCUGGCGUAAUGGUUGUAAGCGACCCGUCUUGAAACACGGACCAAGGAGUCUAACAUCUAUGCGAGUGUUUGGGCGUUAAACCCAUACGCGGAAUGAAAGUGAACGUAGGUGAGAACCCGUUAGGGUGCAUCAUCGACCGAUCCUG
rnacentral:rRNA from 1 species